rnacentral:rRNA from 1 species
UACGUAGGUGGCAAGCGUUGUUCGGAAUUAUUGGGCGUAAAGGGCGCGUAGGCGGUUUGUUAAGUCGGUCGUGAAAGCCCGGGGCUCAACCCCGGAGGGUCGACCGAUACUGGCAGACUAGAGUACAGAAGAGGUAGCUGGAAUUCCCGGUGUAGCGGUGAAAUGCGUAGAUAUCAGGAGGAACACCGGUGGCGAAGGCGGGUCUCUGGGCCGUAACUGACGCUGAGGAGCGAAAGCGUGGGGAGCGAACAGG